CGCGCAAGUAUGGGUGCGUACGUGUGGGUAGUCAGGAAGGUGGUGCUUUUUCGUUUAUAACUUCGUCAUUUAUGGACCGAUCUUAAAGAAUGAGGUGUCAUAUGAAAGCUUAACGCUUGACGGAAAAUUCAAGCUAAAAAAAUUUGUAAAAAUAUUGUUGCAUAAUCAUGAUAUUCUGAAAAUAAAAAUCCAACGCCGAUUUUUGCCUAUAACUUCGUUAUUAAUGGACGGAGCUUAAAGAAUGGACGGAUCGAAUUUAUGCCCCGAGUCCAGGGGCAAAUUCCGGUGGUCGAAUUUUCGAAAUUGGUUCAGUAGAUUUCGAAAAAAGUGUAUUUUACGUCGACUAGUUACAUUUGAGUAAUAUGACGGUAAUUUCGCGGGUUUUUUCGAUUUUUCUCGGAAACGGCUGGAGGAAUAUUGUUUCCGAUAAUUUCUAUUUAUAGCCCGGAGCUUGGGCUACAAUCCUGGCACGAUGGAUUUUUCAGGGUGCAAUCCUGUAAUUCAGGAAAAUUCGAGACCUGAACCCAGAGUGCAUUUUUUACCACAAAACUGCUUCUUACGCGAUGACGGAGUCACCUAGGGUAUGCGAAACAUACAUGGAAUUUAUGCCCCGAGUCUAGGGGCAAAUUCCGGUAGUCGAAUUUUCGAAAUUGGUUCAGUAGAUUUCGAAAAAAGUGUAUUUUUAACUUUUGAUUAAUAAACUUUAAAAUCAUAGCUAAAGGUUGAAUUUUCUUAAAAUUUUUUCUUUGGAAUGGCUUCAUAUACAGUUAAGGUAGUCUGUUUUAUGCAUGAUAAGGACUUUUUAGCAGAAUUUAUACACUUUUUCUUAAAAAAACGGCGAUUUUUUUUUUGCAAGUCAAAUAUCUCAAAUAAAUCUUUAAUGCCUAUCAAGGAAGGGUAACCCAUCAGCUGCGCUAAGCGAUAAGCUUUCAUAUGACACCUCAUUCUUUCAAAUCGGACCA